AAUCCAGAGUGGACGUACUACUCUGUUGAUAUACGAGAAAGUCUCCAAUGUGUUGGUAACUUCCAGCAGCACAGACUUGGUUGAGUUCAGUGCUUCUGUCUCUCUGUCCUGCUCUGCCUCUGGAUCCUCUCUCUCUUUCCUCUGGUUGAACGGCAGCUCUGAGGUUACAGCAAGUGACAGAGUUCAGCUCACUGAUGGAGGCUCCAGUCUGACUAUAAUCAAUGUGACCCGCUUUGACCAGGGACCAUUCAGGUGUCGUGUGUCCAACCCUGUCAGUACUGGUACCAGUGAUCCAGUAAACCUCUCCAUCAGCUAUGGCCCAGAAAAUAUCAAUUUGAUAUUAUCUCCACCACAAGGAUACUUUGCUGUGGGGUCAGACAUCAGCCUC